GAUGAAGAACGUAGCGAAAUGCGAUAAGUAAUGUGAAUUGCAGAAUUCAGUGAAUCAUCGAAUCUUUGAACGCACAUUGCGCCCCUUGGUAUUCCGAGGGGCAUGCCUGUUCGAGCGUCAUUAUAACCCCUCAAGCUCAGCUUGGUGUUGGGGCCUGCCGCACGGGCAGCCCUUAAAAUCAGUGGCGGUGCCAUCUGGCUCUAAGCGUAGUAAUUCUUCUCGCUAUAGAGUUCCGGUGGAUGCUUGCCAUUAACCCCCAAUUUUCUAUGGUUGACCUCGGAUCAGGUAGGGAUACCCGCUGAACUUAAGCAUAUCAAUAAGCGGAGGA
rnacentral:misc_RNA from 1 species